AACUACAGUUUGCCAAAAGAUGGU
rnacentral:siRNA from 1 species